GAGACUACGGAAGGCCGAAGGAUUGGGCUCAGCAUUGCUUGGGCUAAAGGCUGACUAGGGCUUCCAGGAAGUGAUGUAUGUGAGAAGUUUGCUUUUUAAAGUGUACGUGGGAUCGUUAUUACGUCGAAAUAGCUCGAGCUGUAACCUAGGGUAAAUAAUAAUUCCUUUUCGUAUUCAUCAAGGUGCUUCUAAGUGCCAGUGCCAGGAGUCUUGCUCUGUUGCCCAGGCUUGAGUGCAGUGGCACGAUCUUGGCUCACUGCAACCUCCACCUCCCGAGUUCAAGCGAUUCUCCUGCCUCACCCUCCUGAGUAGCUGGGACUACAGGCCUGCGCCACCACACCUGGCUAACUUCUGAAUAUCAAGCUGAAAUUACUAUCAGAUAUCUUGCCACCACAUAGAGGCUUUGAGUGAAGUCUGCAUGGAGGAGAACAGAGCUGAGAGAUGGAAAGAUACUGAAUCCCAGUGACGUCCUUUGAGAUGUCGGAUCAAGCUGAGCUGGGCAUGAAGAUAGAGCUACUCCUAUACUUUUAAGAUACCAAUAACAAGCAAGAUUCAGAAGUCCAACAAGUAAGACAUUGAUUUCAUUAAGAGAGAACUAGUAAGCAAGCUAUUUGGGAAGUACACUCUCAUAAGAAUAUUGUUUCAUGAAGUCUUGAGCAACAAAGGAAAUAGUAAGUAAG
rnacentral:lncRNA from 1 species